AGAGUUUGAUCCUGGCUCAGGAUGAACGCUAGCGGCAGGCUUCAUACAUGCAAGUCGAGGGGCAGCAUAAAUUACUUGUAAUUUGAUGGCGACCGGCGAACGGGUGCGUAACGCGUAUGCAACUUACCUUUUACUAGAGAAUAGCCAAGAGAAAUUUUGAUUAAUGCUCUAUGUUCUUAUUUACUCGCAUGAGUAAAUAAGCAAAGCUCCGGCGGUAAAAGAUNGGCAUGCGUCCUAUUAGCUUGUAGGUGAGGUAAUGGCUCACCUAAGCUCCGAUAGGUAGGGGUCCUGAGAGGGAGAUCCCCCACACUGGUACUGAGACACGGACCAGACUUCUACGGAAGGCAGCAGUAAGGAAUAUUGGACAAUGGAGGCAACUCUGAUCCAGCCAUGCCGCGUGAAGGAAGACGGCCUUAUGGGUUGUAAACUUCUUUUAUACAGGAAGAAACCUUUCCACGUGUGGAAAGCUGACGGUACUGUAAGAAUAAGGAUCGGCUAACUCCGUGCCAGCAGCCGCGGUAAUACGGAGGAUCCAAGCGUUAUCCGGAAUUAUUGGGUUUAAAGGGUCCGCAGGCUGUUUGUUAAGUCAGAGGUGAAAUCCUACCGCUCAACGGUAGAACUGCCUUUGAUACUGGCAAACUUGAGUUAUUGUGAAGUAGUUAGAAUGUGUAGUGUAGCGGUGAAAUGCAUAGAUAUUACACAGAAUACCGAUUGCGAAAGCAGAUUACUAACAAUAUACUGACGCUGAGGGACGAAAGCGUGGGUAGCGAACAGGAUUAGAUACCCUGGUAGUCCACGCCGUAAACGAUGGUCACUAGCUGUUCGAUGUACAUUGGUACGUUGAGUGGCUAAGCGAAAGUGAUAAGUG
rnacentral:rRNA from 1 species